AAACUGGUAGUUUAUAUAAAACUUUUGGCUGUUAACUAAGUAAUGGGCUAUGUCCCUCAGUUUU
rnacentral:tRNA from 1 species